UCAGGAGUGAACGCUAGCGAGAGGCCUAACACAUGCAAGUCAGGGGCAGCACAAGGAGUAAUCUGAGGUGGCGACCGGCGCACGGGUGAGUAACACGUAUGCAACCUGGCUGUAAGAGGGGAAUAACCCGGAGAAAUCCGGACUAAUACCGCAUAAUACUUAGAAUCCGCAUGGAUUUUAAGUUAAACAUUUAUGGCUUACAGAUGGGCAUGCGUAUGAUUAGCUGGUUGGAGAGGUAACGGCUCCCCAAGGCAACGAUCAUUAGGGGUUCUGAGAGGAAGGUCCCCCACACUGGUACUGAGACACGGACCAGACUCCUACGGGAGGCAGCAGUGAGGAAUAUUGGUCAAUGGACGAGAGUCUGAACCAGCCAAGUCGCGUGCAGGAAGAAUGUCCCUAUGGAUUGUAAACUGCUUUUGCAGGGGAAUAAAGUGCAUCACGUGUGAUGUUUUGUAUGUACUCUGCGAAUAAGGAUCGGCUAACUCCGUGCCAGCAGCCGC
rnacentral:rRNA from 1 species